rnacentral:rRNA from 1 species
UUAGAGUUUGAUCAUGGCUCAGGAUGAACGCUAGCGGGAGGCCUAACACAUGCAAGCCGAGCGGUAUUGUUUCUUCGGAAAUGAGAGAGCGGCGUACGGGUGCGGAACACGUGUGCAACCUGCCUUUAUCUGGGGGAUAGCCUUUCGAAAGGAAGAUUAAUACUCCAUAAUAUAUUGAACGGCAUCGUUUAAUAUUGAAAGCUCCGGCGGAUAGAGAUGGGCACGCGCAAGAUUAGCUAGUUGGUGAGGUAACGGCUCACCAAGGCGAUGAUCUUUAGGGGGCCUGAGAGGGUGAUCCCCCACACUGGUACUGAGACACGGACCAGACUCCUACGGGAGGCAGCAGUGAGGAAUAUUGGUCAAUGGGUGCAAGCCUGAACCAGCCAUCCCGCGUGAAGGACGACUGCCCUAUGGGUUGUAAACUUCUUUUGUAUAGGGAUAAACCUACCCUCGUGAGGGUAGCUGAAGGUACUAUACGAAUAAGCACCGGCUAACUCCGUGCCAGCAGCCGCGGUAAUACGGAGGGUGCAAGCGUUAUCCGGAUUUAUUGGGUUUAAAGGGUCCGUAGGCGGACUUAUAAGUCAGUGGUGAAAGCCUGUCGCUUAACGAUAGRACUGCCAUUGAUACUGUAAGUCUUGAGUAUAUUUGAGGUAGCUGGAAUAAGUAGUGUAGCGGUGAAAUGCAUAGAUAUUACUUAGAACACCAAUUGCGAAGGCAGGUUACCAAGAUAUAACUGACGCUGANGGACGAAAAGCGUGGGGAGCGAACAGGAUUAGAUACCCCGGUA